rnacentral:rRNA from 1 species
ACGAUGUGGGAAGGCCCAGACAGCCAGGAUGUUGGCUUAGAAGCAGCCAUCAUUUAAAGAAAGCGUAAUAGCUCACUGGUCGAGUCGGCCUGCGCGGAAGAUGUAACGGGGCUAAACCAUGCACCGAAGCUGCGGCAGCGACGCUUAUGCGUUGUUGGGUAGGGAGCGUUCUGUAAGCCUGUGAAGGUGUGCUGUGAGGCAUGCUGGAGGUAUCAGAAGUGCGAAUGCUGACAUAAGUAACGAUAAAGCGGGUGAAAAGCCCGCUCGCCGGAAGACCAAGGGUUCCUGUCCAACGUUAAUCGGGGCAGGGUGAGUCGACCCCUAAGGCGAGGCCGAAAGGCGUAGUCGAUGGGAAACAGGUUAAUAUUCCUGUACUUGGUGUUACUGCGAAGGGGGGACGGAGAAGGCUAUGUUGGCCGGGCGACGGUUGUCCCGGUUUAAGCGUGUAGGCUGGUUUUCCAGGCAAAUCCGGAAAAUCAAGGCUGAGGCGUGAUGACGAGGCACUACGGUGCUGAAGCAACAAAUGCCCUGCUUCCAGGAAAAGCCUCUAAGCAUCAGGUAACAUCAAAUCGUACCCCAAACCGACACAGGUGGUCAGGUAGAGAAUACCAAGGCGCUUGAGAGAACUCGGGUGAAGGAACUAGGCAAAAUGGUGCCGUAACUUCGGGAGAAGGCACGCUGAUAUGUAGGUGAAGUCCCUCGCGGAUGGAGCUGAAAUCAGUCGAAGAUACCAGCUGGCUGCAACUGUUUAUUAAAAACACAGCACUGUGCAAACACGAAAGUGGACGUAUACGGUGUGACGCCUGCCCGGUGCCGGAAGGUUAAUUGAUGGGGUCAGCGCAAGCGAAGCUCUUGAUCGAAGCCCCGGUAAACGGCGGCCGUAACUAUAACGGUCCUAAGGUAGCGAAAUUCCUUGUCGGGUAAGUUCCGACCUGCACGAAUGGCGUAAUGAUGGCCAGGCUGUCUCCACCCGAGACUCAGUGAAAUUGAACUCGCUGUGAAGAUGCAGUGUACCCGCGGCAAGACGGAAAGACCCCGUGAACCUUUACUAUAGCUUGACACUGAACAUUGAGCCUUGAUGUGUAGGAUAGGUGGGAGGCUUAGAAGUGUGGACGCCAGUCUGCAUGGAGCCGACCUUGAAAUACCACCCUUUAAUGUUUGAUGUUCUAACGUUGACCCGUAAUCCGGGUUGCGGACAGUGUCUGGUGGGUAGUUUGACUGGGGCGGUCUCCUCCUAAAGAGUAACGGAGGAGCACGAAGGUUGGCUAAUCCUGGUCGGACAUCAGGAGGUUAGUGCAAUGGCAUAAGCCAGCUUGACUGCGAGCGUGACGGCGCGAGCAGGUGCGAAAGCAGGUCAUAGUGAUCCGGUGGUUCUGAAUGGAAGGGCCAUCGCUCAACGGAUAAAAGGUACUCCGGGGAUAACAGGCUGAUACCGCCCAAGAGUUCAUAUCGACGGCGGUGUUUGGCACCUCGAUGUCGGCUCAUCACAUCCUGGGGCUGAAGUAGGUCCCAAGGGUAUGGCUGUUCGCCAUUUAAAGUGGUACGCGAGCUGGGUUUAGAACGUCGUGAGACAGUUCGGUCCCUAUCUGCCGUGGGCGCUGGAGAACUGAGGGGGGCUGCUCCUAGUACGAGAGGACCGGAGUGGACGCAUCACUGGUGUUCGGGUUGUCAUGCCAAUGGCACUGCCCGGUAGCUAAAUGCGGAAGAGAUAAGUGCUGAAAGCAUCUAAGCACGAAACUUGCCCCGAGAUGAGUUCUCCCUGACUCCUUGAGAGUCCUGAAGGAACGUUGAAGACGACGACGUUGAUAGGCCGGGUGUGUAAGCGCAGCGAUGCGUUGAGCUAACCGGUACUAAUGAACCGUGAGGCUUAACCUU